rnacentral:rRNA from 1 species
GACGAACGCUGGCGGCGUGCCUAAUACAUGCAAGUCGCACGAGAACGCUUCUGCUUGCAGAGGCUAGUAAAGUGGCGCACGGGUGAGUAACACGUGGGUAAUCUACCUCCGAAUUGGGGAUAACAUUGCGAAAGCGAUGCUAAUACCGGAUAAUAUUGUUGAUUCUUAGGGAUCUGCAAUCAAAGGUGGCCUCUUCAUGAAAGCUACUGUUUGGAGAUGAGCCCGCGUCCCAUUAGCUAGUUGGUAGGGUAAUGGCCUACCAAGGCUACGAUGGGUAGCUGGUCUGAGAGGAUGAUCAGCCACACUGGAACUGACACACGGUCCAGACACCUACGGGUGCAG